rnacentral:tRNA from 1 species
GGUGAGUACAGCUCAGUGGUAGAGCACAUGCUUAGCAUGCAUGAGGUCCUGGGUUUAAUCUCUAGCAUCUCCU